GACGCUGGAGCCAGAUGGUUAGGCGGCUGCCUGCAAAGCAGUUUCAAGUGGGUUCGACUCCCACUGGCGUCU
rnacentral:tRNA from 1 species